GCAAAGUCAGCGGGUCACGGCGGGGUCACGGCGGUCCGACGGCGGCGGCGCGAAGCGGAAUGGCGGUGCGGAGGUUCGGCCCGUGCCGUCCCGUCCCACCAACAUCCGCUUCUGGCGCCGUGGGCCGACGUCAGAAGAUAGGAGGCGUUACUUUCGGAGCAGCCCCGCCAGUGCUGCGCUGCCCGGCACGGCUUCCGGCGAUUCAUCGCGGCGCUGAACGCUCAAAGCCUCGGCUCGCGGCGCUGGGACGGAUGCUGGUUUCCAGCUAAGGAGCAGAUGCCCCACGUCCAGCUCUGUGCAUCCCACAGACAGAUCUGCCACUCGGUUUGCUGUCUGUAUCCGCGCUGCUGCUCCUGCACACGUGUGCUGUGGUGUUGGACGGGUGAUUGAAUCAUAGAACCGUAGAACAGCUCAGGCAGGAUCUUCCCAAGGUGUUGAUGAUCUCUUCUGAUGGAUUUCAAUGGGAUUACAACUACAGUCUUGACUCUGAAUUUUCAUUAUGCCACAAUCACUGAUGUGUUCAUGACAAAGGAUUUCCUCAUUGCUGUAUGGUGCAAUGGGUCUCUGUGCAGAAAGCCACGGUACAGUUGCCAGUGAGGUGUGUGAUCCUGCUGUGAAUGAAGCUUUGAACAACAUCCACAGCUCCAUUCAGUAAUUCCAAGUUCUGGGAAGAAGCCAUCCCACCGUGGGUAACAAACCAGAGAGAAGGACAGAAAACCAGAGCAGCUGUGUGGCCUGGAAUGCAUCUGAAAAUACUGGAGUCCUUCCUACAUGUGAUAUGGCAUACAAUGAAUCUGUUGGGAACAGCCUGGUAAGAUGGGCCAUGUCCUGGACCCAGAAAGUCCCCUUAUGGGACAGCAGUUCAUGCUAUGGAUCACAAGCUGGGAUGUCUGAUAUCAGAGCAGAAGAAAAUGAAGCAGUGGAAUGUGGUAAACAUCAUAACCUCCAGUGAUCAUAGGAUGUCACUGUCAUCCUCUGAAAGGCUCAUUGGGCUUCAUCAGGAUGUGAGCAGAGAGCUGUGCAAAGUCCUUGACUGUCCUGCAUGGCUGUUCUGCUGAAAGCUGUAGCACUGAAAUCCUCAGAAGAAAAUCCUUGGGCAUUAGAACUGCACAGACUUCAUUCCUGAAUGGAAUCUGUCAUAGCAGCAGCGAUGCCAUCAGCCUUAACAGGGGUGCUGGCUGGAGCUGUGCUGUGUUCCUGCUGCUGGCUCUGUCAGGAGCCUGAGUUACAUUGCUAAAAUGGACAGUGAGCAAAUCUGUGUCUUGUUGAGCAGUACUGCCCCGUGUCCUUCAGUGCUUACGAGCAGUGAGGUGAUCUGAAGGUGUCAUCAAGGCUGAGCAGCGUUCUGCAGGGAUAGCUACUGGCUGUCACAGAUCUUGCCUUCUAUCAGCAUGCUUGAGCCGUAGAUAGAAUUAGAUUUGUGACUCAGGAACCUGAAGCCAGAUGGGGAGCUGCAAUCCGUAGGGACUGCGGUAGCUACUGGUAAUCACACAGAAUCACAGAAAGCCUUGGGUUGGAAGGGACCUGAAGGAUCACGAAGCUCCAUCCCUCUGUGCCAUGCAGGGCCACCAACCUCCACAUUUCACAGCAGCCCAGGGCCCCAUCCAACCUGGCCUUGAACACCUCCAGGGACGGGGCAGCUCUCUCUGUCAGCCCCUCCCAACGAGCACAGACAGCAGUGCUGGCCCAGACGCUCUCAUUACCAGCUGAAGGAGCUGCUGUAAAAGGAAACUUCGGCAUCAGGAAGGAGAACUGACGCGUAACCCGAUUCUCUGAGCUUGUUUUCCUGGAGUUCAGAUAGCUAUUACACAUGACAGUAAGCACACAUUAGCUUGGAGUACAGCUCAUGUUGCUUCCUCCUGCAGCGCCAGCCAGGACUGCCCUGCAAAGCAGUAAGCUUCGUGCCUUGCUCAGCUCUGAAGAGGCCCAGGCACAUUGACCCCGCGCCUUUUUACAACAGUAACUCAUUUUGUCCUGUCCAAGUUUAGCGAUUCUCUUUAGUUGUCAGUUUGAGGUCAGAAACAUGAUGCUAUUCUCUGUUUUCCUGCAGGAUUCCUGUGCUUCGCUGUCAUGGAGGAAGAAACGUGCCCGAACAUACAGGUUCCCAACUGGUUUUCAUGCUCCCGGCUGCAUGUCCUGGCUCCUCCUUUCUGCUCGCUGGCUUUCCGGCUUGUUGUUACACAGACUUCUGCUGGAAAGCAAAGCUCAGAGGCCAGAGAUAAGCACGUGGGAGUCUGGGGGUGGAAGCUGCUUGCUUCUGGGGCAGUCUUAGUUGCACAGCAGAUGAUGAGGGAAGGGAAAAGAAUACCCUAAGAGUCCAAGGAGCGAGUGGUGCUGUUCCAUGAUUGCAUGUGCAGAGCUGGUGACAAGGCAAGGUGUGAAGUGCCACCUGCACCUCCCAUCCCGCCUGUCCCUGUGGAUGGCUGCCACCUGCUGCCAGCCCAGCAUCUCAGCCUCAGCACAGCUCCUCCUGACGUGUGGGCUGACUGCGGCUGCUGAAGGGUUAACAGGAGCUGCUUCUGCUCAGCCCUAGGCAGCAGGACUCUGCACUAUGAUGAUAAAUGGAGCAUAGCAGUGAGCCAGCUAGUUCUGAGCUAGAUAAACUCACCACCCGAAGAUGAAAAUUGGGAUUCAAAUGAGGUGAAAUAUUUAGCUGCUUCCUGGAAGAUAAAGAGUCGGGUUCACUCAGAAAGUGUUCGCUCAGGCUUUCAGAGAUGCCAGGACACAGUGUGACGUCUCCCUUUGGCACUGUGAAGGAAGAAACUAGCAGUGUGCUUACAGAAAUGCAUUCUGUGCUUCUCUUUCUCUCAGGGCUGUAUUUACAGUAGAGGUGAUUUUGGUAAACUUAUCCAUAGUACCUUCA